AGAAUUUAUUAAUGAACGAGGUUUAUACAAAUAAAAACUAAAUUCUCUACAGAGUAUUUUCGAAAAGUUAUAUGUCCUCCAUGGAUAUGAAAGGCAAAGGUGGAAAAAUAUGUUUUAAGAACACUAAUCUAUAUGGCGUU